GAUGAACGCUGGCGGCGUGCCUAAUACAUGCAAGUCGAACGAAGCGGGGACGGGUGAGUAACACGUGGAUAACCUCCUAUAAGACUGGGAUAACUUCGGGAAACCGGUGCUAAACCGGAAACUUAUAGAUGGAUCCGCGCUGCAUUAGCUAGUUGGUAAGGUAACGGCUUACCAAGGCAACGAUGCAUAGCCGACCUGAGAGGGUGAUCGGCCACACUGUAACUGAGACACGGUCCAGACUCCUACGGGAGGCAGCAGUAGGGAAGAUUGCGCAAUGGGCGAAAGCCUGACGCAGCAACGCCGCGUGCGUGAGGAAGGUCUGCGGAUAGUAAAACUCUGUUAUUAGGGAGGCGGUACCUAAUCAGAAAGCGACGGCUAACUACGUGCCAGCAGCCGCGGUAAUUC
rnacentral:rRNA from 1 species